GAGAGCGUGACUGGCAGGGUCCAACGGACCAAAAGGAGAUCAGGGCUCCCAAGGGCAACCAGGCUUCCCAGGGACACCGGGCCCCCCUGGUCCCCCUGGGAACAAGGAAGAGAAGGACCACCUGGACCCAAGGCUGACAAGGGUAACGAUGGAGCACAAGGUCCACAGGGCCCAUCUGGACCUCCAGGUUCUCCUGGGUCUCCUGGCUUGCAGGUGA